rnacentral:rRNA from 1 species
CAUUAUUGAAUAAACUUGAAAUAAAUUGUUGCUGGCUUUGUUAAAGCAUGUGCACAUUUGUUUCAUUUUUUAAAAUCUCUUGUGCACUUGUGUAAAUCUGAAUAUCUUGAAAGGAGUUUUUUCUACUUCCUUCAGUUUGAGAAUUGUCAUGCUAUUAAGUUGGGCUUUUCUUGUUUCAGAUUUAUGUUUUGAUACACACCUCUGAAAUAUAUUAGAAUGUUUGUUAUAUUGGCUUUUAUUAUGCCUUUAAAAUAUAUAUAUACAACUUUCAACAACGGAUCUCUUGGCUCUCGCAUCGAUGAAGAACGCAGCGAAAUGCGAUAAGUAAUGUGAAUUGCAGAAUUCAGUGAAUCAUCGAAUCUUUGAACGCACCUUGCGCUUCUUGGUAUUCCGAGGAGCAUGCCUGUUUGAGUGUCAUAAAAUUUCUCAAAGUUUAUCUCACUUAUUAGUUAGAUAGACAUGGAUUAUGGGAGUUGCUGGCUUUAUUAAAAGUUAGCUCUUCUUAAAUAUAUUAGCAAAAUUAUAGCUGAUCAUCAUUUGAUAUGAUAAUUAUCUAUAUCAUUGAUGAAUAGCAUUUUGCUUCUAACACUAUUUGAUUCUUUUGACCU